UAAGGAAUAUUGGUCAAUGGACGCAAGUCUGAACCAGCCAUGCCGCGUGAAGGAUGAAGGUCCUCUGGAUUGUAAACUUCUUUUAUCUGGGACGAAAACGGGAUUUUUAUCUCAAUUGACGGUACCAGAGGAAUAAGCACCGGCUAACUCCGUGCCAGCAGCCGCGGUAAUACGGAGGGUGCGAGCGUUAUCCGGAUUUACUGGGUUUAAAGGGUGCGUAGGUGGGCUUAUAAGUCAGUGGUGAAAUCUCCGAGCUUAACUUGGAAACUGCCGUUGAUACUAUAGGUCUUGAAUUAUCUGGAGGUAAGCGGAAUAUGUCAUGUAGCGGUGAAAUGCUUAGAUAUGACAUAGAACACCGAUUGCGAAGGCAGCUUACUACAUAUAAAUUGACGCUGAGGCACGAAAGCGUGGGGAUCGAACA
rnacentral:rRNA from 1 species